GACGAACGCUGGCGGCGUGCUUAACACAUGCAAGUCGAACGAAGAGCGAUGGAAGCUUGCUUCUAUCAAUCUUAGUGGCGAACGGGUGAGUAACGCGUAAUCAACCUGCCCUUCAGAGGGGGACAACAGUUGGAAACGACUGCUAAUACCGCAUACGAUCCAAUCUCGGCAUCGAGGAUGGAUGAAAGGUGGCCUCUAUUUAUAAGCUAUCACUGAAGGAGGGGAUUGCGUCUGAUUAGCUAGUUGGAGGGGUAACGGCCCACCAAGGCAAUGAUCAGUAGCCGGUCUGAGAGGAUGAACGGCCACAUUGGGACUGAGACACGGCCCAGACUCCUACGGGAGGCAGCAGUGGGGAAUCUUCCGCAAUGGACGAAAGUCUGACGGAGCAAC
rnacentral:rRNA from 1 species